rnacentral:rRNA from 1 species
UGGGGAAUAUUGCGCAAUGGGCGAAAGCCUGACGCAGCGACGCCGCGUGAGGGAUGAAGGUCUUCGGAUCGUAAACCUCUGUCAGCAGGGAAGAAAGUUAUGCGUGCUAAUCAGCGUGUAAUUGACGGUACCUGCAAAGGAAGCACCGGCUAACUCCGUGCCAGCAGCCGCGGUAAUACGAAGGGGGCAAGCGUUGUUCGGAAUUACUGGGCGUAAAGGGAGUGUAGGCGGUUAAGUAAGAUAGCGGUGAAAUCCCGGGGCUCAACCUCGGAAUUGCCGUUAUGACUAUUUAGCUUGAAUUAUAGAGAGGAUAGCGGAAUACCCAGUGUAGAGGUGAAAUUCGUAGAUAUUGGGUAGAACACCGGUGGCGAAGGCGGCUAUCUGGCUAUAUAUUGACGCUGAGGCUCGAUAGCAUGGGGAUCAAACAGGAUUAGAUACC